rnacentral:rRNA from 1 species
AACGAACGCUGGCGGCGCGCCUAAUACAUGCAAGUCGAGCGGCAAGUUUUGAUAGCAAUAUUGGAACCUAGAGCGGCGCACGGGUGAGUAACGCGUACAUGACCUGCCCUAUACUGGGGGAUAGUCUUGGGAAACUGAGAAUAAUCCCGCAUGUGAUUAGAAUGCUGCAUGGCAAAUUAAUUAAAGCUGAGGCGGUAUAGGAUGGGUGUGCGUCUGAUUAGCUAGUUGGUAGUGUAACGGACUACCAAGGCGAUGAUCAGUAGGGGGCGUGAGAGCGUGACCCCCCACACGGGUACUGAGACACGGACCCGACUCCUACGGGAGGCAGCAGUAAGGAAUAUUGGUCAAUGGAGGGAACUCUGAACCAGCCAUCCCGCGUGAAGGAUGAAGGGGCUCUGCCUUGUAAACUUCU